AACUUUAUUUAAAGCUACCCUAUUGAAUAAAUAGGUAUUUACAAGAUAAAUAAGAUCAUGUCUAUAUUGUUCUGUGAUUAGUUUGUUCGUAAAUAUACAAUUGUAAUUUCCUAUGAAGAAAAAAAAUUCCUUGAGUUGAGUUGUCUUUUUUCUUUGGGUUGAUAUUUGUGCUGUGUGCUGAUUUCAAAAUAUUAAUCCAAAAUGAAACUAAUUUAAACAAGCAUAUGCCUGAAUUGCAAUAAAACUUGGUCGUUACAAUAGAAGGAGUUUCAAACCUAAUAAGAUGUGAUCAAAGAAAGCAUAUUUCUUCCCAUGUAGUAAUACCAGAUAUACGAAUCUUCUCAUGGGAAUGAAUACAAGGGCAAUUCCAAAAUGUUCCCAGAUGUUCUUUGGAUAUUGACAAUAUGAACUUGCAAAUAUAGUUGUUUGCUGUUAUUAUAUCAACUUAUUUAUCCAUUCCUAUAUUGAAGACAGGCCAUGUUGUUUCUUCUUCCUAUUAUAGUACAGGGCAAAAGGGGGUGUUUGCCUAAGAUGAAAAACAAAUGCAGCUUGUAAACCUAAAAGUAUAAAACUACCCUAGAAAAUCUUGAUUUAAACAGGCAAGCAUGAACAUCUAAGACAAAAAACUGAGGUUGAUUGAUUAAAAUACAUAAUCAACCAAUGUCCUUUUUAUGGUCUCUUCUUUAAUGCAAAGGAAAACUUAACUAUCUCUGCAAUAUGCACAAAAUUUUCAAGACCAUGAAAACCCAAUCAAAAACAAACGAUGUUAAUAUUUAAGACCAAUCAUCAGCUUCCUAAAACACAACUCCCAACAUUUUCAACCCAAAGUGUUUCUCUCCUGGUCGGCACCAGAUGAUUUCGGGAUGUCUCGGUAUUCAGUGUCGACCGACAGACAUGUUUAAAUACAUUAAGGUAUAAGGAUGGUUAACAAGGCUAAACCGUACGAAAAAUUAGUAAACCGUACGAAAAAUUAGGUAAUACUCUACAUGCUAAUCUCGGCCCAACUAACAGAACUUAUCAUAGUAGUAUAAAUAGGUGCAAUAAUCAAAACAAAGAUACAUCAUUAUUAUGCAUCUAUUGCAUUGAAUACUAAACACUUACUUUUGAGCAUCAAAGUAUCUUUUACAAGUGUCUUUCCAACCGAAAGUAAAGAGUUAAGAGCGAAGAAAGAAAGAAGCAGAAUCCGACCGAAGGAGUUAAUUGUUCCACUGUAAAAGAUACUCUCGGCCCCUCUAUACAAUAACAGAUUCAAAUUGAAUAGACGAGGGAUUGGAGGGAUGGGUGGACCUAUUUAUGAAUCCUAAUAGUCAUAGUUUGCAAAGAAAACCUCAUAAAUAAGCUUGUUUCUAAGAACCGAGAAGAGUGAGAGAAGAAACUAAAUAGGAUAAAUAAUAUUCUCCUGAGCUUUCUAGUUGAAAUUAUCAGUGACUAGAGAGUUGUAGUAUGUGACAUCUGAGAGUGAAUACAAGUUUUUCGUGCCUUCAUUAUUUGAGAAAUGGAGGAAUACCUUUGGUGUUUCAGUGCAAUUCAUGUCAUUUUUUUAGGAUCUGUGAUCCUUAGGUUAGAUUGGAGUGAUUCCAUUAUUAAAAUUAUUUGAAUAGGAUAUAGAAUACAAAUUACUAGACUAAAAUACAAUUUUGAUCUUCCUUUUUUUAAUCCAUGAUUUUUUUAACAUAGAGUUAUUUCGACCAACCCUACAAAUUAAGUUAAUACCUUAAUAAUUAAGAUAUUAAUAUUUACUUACAUGUCAUAUACUUUUAUCUAACCAAAAAAAUAAACAAUGACAUAUAAUAUAUAUAUAUAGGGAAAAAAAGAAAAAAAAAAUACCAUGGCGUGUGGUCGUCGUGUUGGAAAACUCUGAAUCCGCGAUUGCUUCUAGAAUCUUCUAUUUGAAUUCACUGUGUUAUAUUGAAUAUUCUUCAAAUUAUUCAUCAGUUUUUCGAUCUUUCACAAAACUCAGAACCCUAUUGGUAUAU
rnacentral:lncRNA from 1 species